rnacentral:rRNA from 2 species
AAAUUGAAGAGUUUGAUCAUGGCUCAGAUUGAACGCUGGCGGCAGGCCUAACACAUGCAAGUCGAACGGUAACAGGAAGCAGCUUGCUGCUUCGCUGACGAGUGGCGGACGGGUGAGUAAUGUCUGGGAAACUGCCUGAUGGAGGGGGAUAACUACUGGAAACGGUGGCUAAUACCGCAUAACGUCGCAAGACCAAAGAGGGGGACCUUCGGGCCUCUUGCCAUCAGAUGUGCCCAGAUGGGAUUAGCUUGUUGGUGAGGUAACGGCUCACCAAGGCGACGAUCCCUAGCUGGUCUGAGAGGAUGACCAGCCACACUGGAACUGAGACACGGUCCAGACUCCUACGGGAGGCAGCAGUGGGGAAUAUUGCACAAUGGGCGCAAGCCUGAUGCAGCCAUGCCGCGUGUAUGAAGAAGGCCUUCGGGUUGUAAAGUACUUUCAGCGGGGAGGAAGGUGUUGCGGUUAAUAACCGCAGCAAUUGACGUUACCCGCAGAAGAAGCACCGGCUAACUCCGUGCCAGCAGCCGCGGUAAUACGGAGGGUGCAAGCGUUAAUCGGAAUUACUGGGCGUAAAGCGCACGCAGGCGGUCUG